rnacentral:rRNA from 1 species
GACGAACCGUGCGAACGUUGUUCGGAUUCACUGGGCUUAAAGGGCGCGUAGGCGGGCCCUCAAGUCAGGGGUGAAAUCCUCCGGCUCAACCGGAGAACUGCUUCUGAGACUGAGGACCUGGAGGGGGAUAGGGGCGGACGGAACUUCCGGUGGAGCGGUGAAAUGCGUAGAUAUCGGAAGGAACGCCGGUGGCGAAAGCGGUCCGCUGGAUCCCUUCUGACGCUGAGGCGCGAAAGCCAGGGGAGCGAACGGG